GACGAACGCUGGCGGCGCGCUUAACACAUGCAAGUCGAACGGAAAGGCCUGCUUUCCCUUGUGGAUUGCGGGUACUCGAGUGGCGAACGGGUGAGUAACACGUGAGUGAUCUGCCCCCAACUUGGGUAUAAGCCUGGGAAACUGGGUCUAAUUCCCGAUAGGACUGCAGGGUGGUGCCUGUGGUGGAAAACGAUUUUCUAGUGGUUGGGGAUGAGCUCGCGGCCUAUCAGCUUGUUGGUGGGGUAAUGGCCUACCAAGGCGGCGACGGGUAGCCGGCCUGAGAGGGUGGACGGCCACAUUGGGACUGAGAUACGGCCCAGACUCCGACGGGAGGCAGCAGUGGGGAAUAAUGCACAAUGGGCGGAAGCCUGAUGCAGCGACGCCGCGUGGGGGAUGACGGCCUUCGGGUUGUAAACUCCUUUCGACCGCGAGGAAGCCACCUGGUUGGAAGGGUGGUGACGGUAGUGGUAGAAGAAGCACCGGCUAACUACGUG
rnacentral:rRNA from 1 species